GUGGGGGAGUUAUGGAGAGGACUGAUUUCUGAAUUCCCAAGCGGAGCACUAUUGAGGGCAUUGUAUCCAAUAACAACUGUUGGUUAUCUAUUGAUGGAUGUUUAUCACUCAAUGAAAAUGUUAUACACCCACAUCUCGCUUUACGGCCUAGAUAGGUACCCCGAAACUAAACCGCAAAACGAAGAGCCGUAUAAGGAAUCAUUCUAAUGAAAAUUUAUACCAAUCCGAUUGAAUUUGUGUGAAUUUGUAUUAGAAUAAUUGAUUGCUUACACGGCUUUCAUGAAGUGUUUUGCCAUGGAUUGUGUUCAACGAAAAUUUCCCUCAUUUGAAAUCGAUACUGAACAAGUUUUAGGAUGUCAACCAAAUUUUCAACUGUUUCAUCAAGGGGCAGAUUUCAAGCGACUUCAUCCAGCUGAAUGUGAAGUUCAGCCUGACCCGGAACGUGAUCGACGAAGAGGUGGUUAAGGCUCGGCUCGAGGAAUUCAAGACCAAACUGUCCGAUUAGUGCUCGGUGAUCGAGAUGUUUCCCUGCCCGACUCUGUCAGAACGCAAUCACCCAGCAAUCGGUCAUUCUUCGCCCAGGAUCCGCUGUGCGUUUAUGCAAAACGCGCUCAAGAAGCUGCUUCUGCCCCGAAGUACGUCCUCGAGAAAUUACGGCUGAGUGCGUUUCUGGACGAGGAUCUGCAGAAGCAGCAAUUAGAUAGUGUUUGAAAGAAAAAUAUGAUGUAAUUUUAAUCACAAAGCAUUAUUACUGCAAUGCUGAAAUAAAAAAAAACACUCUAGAAUGAAUGAAUAGGCACACAUUCUCUUGUAGGCAGAUUUCAAGAUGAUCACAGGAAGUGAACAGAUAAUACACAUAAAUAAGUAGUGCCCCUAGCUUGUUAGAAAUUGUUAUUAUUAUUGCUUCAUAAAAUUUUACACUUUUAUCUAACCGUGUUUCUGAGACUGUUAAAAAAUAUGUGGCAACGGAGCGUGUGAAAUAAAUCAUGCUGUUU